rfam:Brassica napus, WGS project CCCW01000000 data, contig: 2473
GAAAAUGAGGAAGAAAUAAAAUGUGAAUCAAGACAUUAAUGUUUUGAGACCAUGUACCAAAUUUUGCUUAUUGAUAUUCUGAUUCCA